CCCCUUGGGGUGGGGUCAUGGGGCUGGUGGCUACAGAGUGAUACUGGACCACCUCCAGACUUCUAGAGGCUGCUGGGAAGAGGAAGGCGUCGGCGCCGACCCCCUGGGGUGGGGUCAUGGGGCUGGUGGCUACAGAGUGAUACUGAACCACCUCCAGACUCCUAGAGGCUGCUGGGAAGAGGAAGGCGUCGGCGCCGACCCCCUGGGGUGGGGUCAUGGGGCUGGUGGCUACAGAAUGGUGCUGAACCACCUCCAGACUCCUAGAGGCUGCUGGGAAGAGGAAGGCGUCGGCGCCGACCCCCUGGGGUGGGGUCAUGGGGCUGGUGGCUACAGAGUGAUACUGAACCACCUCCAGACUCCUAGAGGCUGCUGGGAAGAGGAAGGCGUCAGCGCUGAACCCUUGGGGUGGGGUCAUGGGGCUGGUGGCUACAGAAGGGUACUGGACAACCUCCAGACUCCUAGAGGCUGCUGGGAAGAGGAAGGCGUCGGCGCCGACCCCCUGGGGUGGGGUCAUGGGGCUGGUGGCUACAGAGUGGUGCUGAACCACCUCCAGACUAACCUGGGUCUGCAUGUGUUUUCUCUCAUUCUGCUCCUCUCUCUUCUUCUCUUUCUCUCUCUCUUUGUCUUUAUUUAUCUCUCCAUCUUUCUCUUCACCUAACUCCUUCUCUUUAUCUCUCUCUCCAUAUUUCUUUCUGACAUCCUCUAUCCCUCUCUUCCCCACUUUCUCUCUCUCCUCCUCCUUCUCCACGGAGAAUUCCCUGUGUUUCGAUGUGUUUAAGAAUGAGUCCUCCUCUGUUGCAUGGUCCUGUACUGAGGGGAAUAUUUGAACAGUGGGCGUUUCAAACUCAGCACGCCCUGUAAUCUGAGUGCUUUCCGCCACAGGGUGUGAGUCCAGCUGAACAGCAACAUCACCUGAGUCCACUGCUCUAAUAGCUGUGACAGGUAGGAUAGUUGUAUCUCCGUGCUCCAACGACUCCCCAUCCACCCCUACACCAAUCAUAGUGUGCACGUGAGGUUUUGGCUGACAGUCUUGAUUGACAGACUGGUGACUGCUAUCCAUACGAGGCUCCUCAGGGGCAGUGGUGAUGUCAGAGGUUCCUGUGCACACAGUGGUGAUGUCAGAGGUUCCUGUGCACACAGUGGCGAUGUCAGAGGUUCCUGUGCACACAGCGGCGAUGUCAGAGGUUCCUGUGCACACAGUGGUGAUGUCAGAGGUUCCUGUGCACACAGUGGCGAUGUCAGAGGUUCCUGUGCACACAGCGGCGAUGUCAGAGGUUCCUGUGCACACAGCGGUGAUGUCAGAGGUUCCUGUGCACACCGCGGCGAUGUCAGAGGUUCCUGUGCACACAGCGGUGAUGUCAGAGGUUCCUGUGCACACAGCGGCGAUGUCAGAGGUUCCUGUGCACACAGUGGCGAUGUCAGAGGUUCCUGUGCACACAGGGGUGAUGUCAGAGGUUCCUGUGCACACAGCGGCGAUGUCAGAGGUUCCUGUGCACACAG
rnacentral:lncRNA from 1 species